rfam:Fukomys damarensis contig89854, whole genome shotgun sequence.
GUAGUCGUGGCCGAGUGGUUAAGGCGAUGGACUUGAAAUCCAUUGGGGUCUUGCCGCGCAGGUUCGGCGCAGGUUCGAGUCCUGCUGACUACA